CAGAGACUGCAAGCGUUAUUCGGAUUCACUGGGCGUAAAGGGUGCGCAGGCGGUCGGGUGUGUCAGAUGUGAAAUCCCGAGGCUCAACCUCGGAACUGCGUCUGAAACUACUCGACUAGAGUACUGGAGAGGGUAACGGAAUUCACGGUGAAGCAGUGAAAUGCGUAGAUAUCGUGAGGAACACCAGAGGCGAAGGCGGUUACCUGGACAGUUACUGACGCUCAGGCACGAAAGCAUGGGGAGCAAAAGGGAUUAGAUACCCCUGUAGUCCAUGCCCUAAACGGUGCACACUAGGUCUUAGCGGAUUCGACCCCACUAGGGCCCAAGCUAACGCGUUAAGUGUGCCGCCUGAGGACUACGGUCGCAAGACUA
rnacentral:rRNA from 1 species